AACGAACGCUGGCGGCAGGCCUAACACAUGCAAGUCGAACGCUCCGCAAGGGGAGUGGCGCACGGGUGAGUAACACGUGGGAACCUACCUUCUGGUACGGAACAACCAAGGGAAACUUUGGCUAAGACCGUAUACGACCUCCGGGUGAAAGAUUAAUCGCCGGAAGAGGGGCCCGCGUCCGAUUAGGUAGUUGGUGAGGUAACGGCUCACCAAGCCUUCGAUCGGUAGCUGGUCUGAGAGGAUGACCAGCCACACUGGGACUGAGACACGGCCCAGACUCCUACGGGAGGCAGCAGUGGGGAAUAUUGGACAAUGGGCGCAAGCCUGAUCCAGCCAUGCCGCGUGAGUGAUGAAGGCCUU
rnacentral:rRNA from 1 species